rnacentral:lncRNA from 1 species
CUGUGAACCUCAGGACUGAACUAAGAUAGCCAAUCAGCACCUGGAGAGCCAAAGGCAUGGGACAGAAUUGAAGACCCCAAAACCAACUCACCAUGUUUCUGGUCAGCAUGACCCUGGGCCACAUGGCCCUCGGGUGUGGUCUCUGAGCCAUUCUGGUUGUGCCAGUCCCAGUGCUGGUUCCAGAGCAGCCCUGUGUCCUGUCCCCAUGGAGAAGCAACAGGAUUCAGCCAAGAGAGGCAUCUGGCUCUCUUCCCACCUCUGAAGAGGAGCCACUCCCUGAAGCCAUCUGGGAUCCCAGAGCUUCCAGAAACAAGAUACAUGAGGCACUGUGUCUCUGCCGGGGGUGGGGGGCUCCACUUGCUUUUGAGUGUGCAGGGGGCCUUGGAUUAGAAAGCAGGAAACCAG